UUGAAAACUACAAUCCAGGAAUGGCUGCCUCAGCACUGACCCACAGACAGAUGCUUGUAUACAGAGAGGCUUUUAAUGAUAUAUUUCUGUCCUUUUAUUUUAGAGGAGAAUUUUGAUCCUAAGGAAGAAUACUUUGUCUAAGUUGCACCGUUAUGUACUAACAGAACUUAUAUUAUAGCAUACUCAUCUUCCCUUAUGGUCUAGAGAUCUUUGGCCCAAUGGCCUUUGGAAAUUCAGAGAUUUAAAAAAAAAAUGGCAUUUUAUACAAUUGCACUAAUGAUCUUCACAGUGGCAAUAUUUCACAGUUGGCCAAAAAAAGAACUGCCAAUUUAUUUCUUUAAGAUUACCAUAAAUUUCUAUAUUUGCUGUUUGGGUGAUGAAAGAAAGUUCCCAGGCUAACUCAUGCACAGGAGGUACACUGUCAUCUUAUAGGUAGGGUGCUGACAAACAGCUUAGGGCCCAUGGUGGCAGCAAAGAAACAUAGUCACCUAGGUCUUCAGAGAAAUGAGAUCACGUGUUCUGCCAUUUGCAUGGUUUGGGGAGAGAGAGAUGCUAUAGUUUGACUUUUGCUUCUAACUAGUUUGGUUGUUGCCUUGAUCUUAUUGAAAUCUGAACAAUUGGAUAUUACUUUGUAGCUACUCUAUGCUUUAGGUGCCUCCUAACCUGACUUUGCAAGGCCUUUCACUAGUUACAAAUAUUUUCUGUCGUUUUUCAUUGAAGUUCUUGGAAAAUCUGGUUCCCAUAGCCAAUCAUUUGAAUACAGGUCGCCCUGGCCGCAAUGAUCAAUGGUUAGUUUAUGGUUUACUUGUCAGAACAGCAGGAAAGGUUUCAUCAGCCAUACCUCAGAGAAGGAGUAGGUAAGGCAUUGGAGACUAUGGACAAGCUUGUUUGCUUGGAAGAGGCCACAAGAAUAACCACGGUGUUACAAGUUCAUCUGCCAAACUGAUUCUGGUUGUUGGAUGCUUUGUUUGUAGUGUUGUUAGAUCCACUCAUUCCUCGAAGACUUUUACCAAGUUCUAUAAUUGUCUAAGCAUCAAAAACACACUGAUUCCUAUGUAUCACCGAGACCCAUCCAGACUUGACCCUGAAUGAAUGAAGGAGAAAAUAAGCAUAAAGAACACUUUUUAUAUAUUUACUGUUUGGGCCCAGAGGGAGGUUUGACUGUAUGCUUUUCAAAUUAUAAAUGAUGUCACAGUAAGCUAAGCAUCUUGUCAUUGCCACUUCUUGCAUGUCUUCCCUCAGGUAGUUUUGUUCAGGAACAAGAAAAGUCAGAAGUGGAAUCUAAUUUUUUCCACAUAUUCAUAUGGAACAUUUAUUCACAGUUGGAGCUGACAUUGCUCACAAUGUUGUUUCGGAUAUGUGUUGAUGUAUUUUAUUCAUAUCAAUGAGUAAAAUUUAGAAAUAUUAAGAGUUAGAAAAGCUGUCUCAAGAAUUGAGUGGAGCAUGAAUAAUAGAAGAUAUUCUUUGUACUCAUUGGAUAUAACUACCUUAUUGCUCAAAUAUGAUUGAAUUAUUGUGAGACAGGAGGUCUUUGGAGUCCUAUGACCAUGGGACCCACGAGUAUCAUUUAUAUUAAGUUAUGUUGAAAAUGCUAUGAAAUGCUGCAUAGCAUGCUUUAUACUGCUGGCCAGUAUUAUAAAAACCAGAUGACUAAGAAGAGAUGAAACUACUAUUACCAUAGCUGCUACUACUGCUACUAUGGCUACUACUACUACUACUACUACUACUACUACUAUUACUACUACUACUACUUAAGUUAAUGAAAUCUAUAAAGGAUUUAAUCAGAUGGUUGACUAAGCUUUGCAUAACUCUCUGGUUAUUAAAUGUCAUUCCUAUUUCCAAAACUGUGUGUGGAGGCAAAAAGUGACACUUAUCUUUGAGCUCCUGUAAAAUUCUAUUGAAGUUUCAAAUUAUCUUCAUUUUUGUUUCUUUGCUAUGACUCACUAUAGUAUUUGUGUCUGGCAUUUGAGAAUGGAACGAUAUACAUUAUGAUAUUUUGUGUACUGCCCACUGUAUAUUCUGUACCCAAGAAAAAGUGAAUCCAAACUUAAGUCUUGCACCAAAUGCAGAAAUCUGAGAUAGAGAAUUACGUUUCAACCAUUCUUGUAAUACUUCCUUGUCGCAGACCCUCUGGGUCCCUGGUCUGCGAGGAACGGGAUUACUUAAGCAGAUGGGCAAAAGAGUCGGAUGAAAUGACAAUCAGACACACGCAAGAGAGGUGUUGAAUCUGAAUGUAAUGUUCUGGUUGAGCUUCAGACUUAUAUUACAACGAAUUAUCAGAGGAUACAAAUCACAAAAGACAAGAUACACUGAAAUUCACCAGUUACAGCAGAAAGGAAUUUGCAGGGACUAAUUAAAUGUUUACAUUAGGGAUAACAAGCCCUGCCUAGGAUCAGCCUAAUGCCAGGCAAGAAUUUCACACUUUAAGGUUAAAAGCAUCAGGGGGUUGUUAACUCUUGACAGGCCUUAAGAGUAAUGUGUUAUCACAGAGCUCUAAAUUCUUAGGUCUAGUAAAACUUAUCCUGUCUGGUGAGUUCCCCCUUAUCAGGGUAGUAUAUCAACUUGUACUUGACAUGGAAUGUAGCCUGUAGUAAAAGAUUUCUAUCUCAGUGAGACUUUUAGUCUCUUUCUGCAGACAGCUGAGUUAAUGGAAAGUGCUUUAUUGUUUUAUGGUAGAGCUUAAUUAGUUACUGAAUAGGUUAAACUCCUUGCUGCUAUCAGGAAUCUAAGAACACUGGGAAAAGGCUUUAGCUAUGUUAGAAUUCAAUCUUAAAAGGCAUUUACUAUAAGGUAAUGCUUAAUAGAGUGCACGUGAAUCUAUACACUAGACUAAUGUGGUAGAAAUUUGAAUAUUAUGGGUUAGGGAAAGAAAUGCCAUAACUCUGGGAGGAAAAUUUCCAUGGAACUCUUAUUCUCAUAAAACAGCUUCCAGGCUUUUCGCCUGACAAACCAAUCCAAACUGGAGAGUUGACUUUCGCCAGACAUCCAGGAGGAAAGUCCUAGAAAUUCAUUUCUCAUGAGCAGCUUUUUGGCAUUUCUGCCUCACAAGCUGACUCCACCAGAGUGCCCUGACACUUCCUCUCUCCCUCCUCUAUGAUUUUCACAGAGAAGGCAUAAUUCCUGUGAUUUGAAUUGAAAGAGGGACCAGCUCUGCGCUGAGUGAUGAGAUCUGAGCGCAGAAUAAAAUAUUCUUGAGUUAAUUUGCAUAAUAGAAUCCGAUUAGUUACAAAGCUGUGUUUGUUGAAGGAGAGACCAGAGUCCCUUUGCUCACCCACAAGGAAACCUUGCAGAUACAAAAAUAGGAUUUUGAGCUCUGGUGAGAACCUUGAUAAUAUACUUUGCAUAAUAAUAACCUGUCUUUAGCUGUCAAUUAGCUUGCUAGAUAUAAAAAGAUUGGGUCAGUGUGUCUGAUUCUUCCAGCUCUGUGGGGAGGAGAAAACUGAAAACCAAAUCUGCUUGCUUUUUGCUAACUGUUUUUGUCUUUCAUUUCCUACCCGAUAACAAUUUCCAGCAGGAGUCCAAAUAUACUUAAACACCCAUAUAUGUCAUUUUCUUUUAAGGAGACAAGCAGGCUCAGCAGCCUGCUUAAGAAGGACUCUCUGCUCUCUAGAUAGAGGGGUGAGCCUUCCACUUAGAACUGGUGAUUUUGCAAAUCCAUUUUCCUGUCACACUAUUACUCUUGUGACUUUCAACAACAUUUAUUUUUUCCCUCCAAGCACUGUGCUCCCUUCGUAAAGUGAAGUCUUCUUACGUGUGUUAGUGGAACCCUGAUGCUUAGGCAUCCUGGCCAGCUGCUAGGAAGAGCUUUAAUGGGAAGAUUGCCAUUGGGGUGGCAAGUGCUUUGGGGUUUUUUAUUAAUAUUAAUUAGAACAUUGAUAGAUUUCUCUAAUUAUUACCCACAUCAAGGUCUCCUUAGGAGGGCAGCCUUUUAUUAAUUUCUUUGUGAGAUCUGUGCUAAAUUUCUACAGUAUUCAACAGUCCAGUCUUGAGAAGUUCCAGGUCUUUCUU
rnacentral:lncRNA from 1 species